CACCACUCUCCUCUCCUUGCUCAGUUACUGGAUGGAGUCUUCCGGAAAAGGCAUGAUUUCAGGGUUGGAAUUGUGAUUAAGCAGUUAUUAACUCCUGCCCUCAUGGAGUUUAAAGUCUGGAGAGAAAUCAGACAUUGAGCAGGCAUUUAUGUACCAGGAAGACAACACCUCCGUAUCUCUUCUGAGAACAUUCUGCAUGCAACAUUCCAUUUUUAGACUCUGUUUCCAGUGAACCCAGUUGAAGACAGUUGGUACCAGGAAUGGUCAUAGGAAAUAGACUCUAAGAGAAGAAUUUUUUGCUGACUCAAU